GGGCGCGUAGCUCAGGGGUAGAGCAUCUGCCUUUUAAGCAGAGGGUCGGUGGUUCGAUACCACCCGCGCUCACCA
rnacentral:tRNA from 1 species